ACUAACUGUGGAACUACUUUAGAAAGCAUAGGCUAAGCAGGGUCGCCCCAGUUAGUACUUGGAUGGGAGACCGCCUGGGAAUACCGGGUGCUGUAGGCU
rnacentral:rRNA from 1 species